GGAAAAGCCUGCUGGCCCCUGGCCUAGAGGAAGCAUAGUCAAAGGUCCUGGGCCAAGAGCAAAAAAGCCAUUUCCUUGCUGAAAGCCCACUGCCACAGGACACAGGACGGAGCAGAGGCGGGAAGGCCUCCCGCGCCACUUCCUCCCCAGAAGCCCCUCCAUUGCAUGAAGGGCUUUACUGACAACUGCCCUUGCAGGGAACGCUGUUCUCUGCUACAAUAAGUGGGUCUUUCUCGGAGUCUAAGGGACCACUAGAAGACACCAGUGCCCGGGUUCCAUUCGUACCCAGGCAGGUUCAGCCUGACGCCCCCAGAAGCUCCAUCCUGCAGUGAAGAAUGCUGGUUCCUUCCACUUCACAGAAGCAAGUGCAGCCCAGAGUCUGGCAGGGUGGCUCUGGGGGCAGAGUGUUUGCCUAGCCUGCAGGAAGCCCUGUGUUGGAACCCCAGCACUGCCUAAACCGGGUUCAGUGCUACAAGCCUGUAAGCCCAGCACCAGGCAGGCGGAGGAGCCAGGAAGGUGAAGAGUUCAGGAUCAUCCUCCCUACUUCAAAGUUUCAACUUUUAUGGACACAUAAAAUAUAAGCCCAGUAAUAAAGCGCCUAUGGCUUAUAAAUAAAUAAGAAUGCGUCUCUGAAACGUUUUCCUGAAAGGGAGGAAUUGCCCCCUCUUCUCUGGAUCGCUGCACCUCGGCGCCUCCCAGUCAGUAGA